AACGAACGCUGGCGGCAGGCUUAACACAUGCAAGUCGAACGCGUGUAGCAAUACACGAGUGGCGCACGGGUGAGUAACGCGUGGAUAUCUGCCUUUUGGUUCGGAAUAACCCCGGGAAACUGGGGCUAAUACCGGAUGGUUCCUACGGGAUAAAGAUUUAUCGCCAAAAGAUGAGUCCGCGUACGAUUAGCUAGUUGGUGGGGUAAUGGCUCACCAAGGCGACGAUCGUUAGCUGGUCUGAGAGGACGAUCAGCCACACUGGGACUGAGACACGGCCCAGACUCGUACGGGAUGUAGCAGUGGGGAAUAGUGGACAAUGGGGGCAACCCUGAGCCAGCCAUGCCGCGUGAGUGAUGAAGGCCUUCGGGUUGUAUAGCUCUUUUGGCGGGGACGAUGAUGACGGUACCCGCAGAAUAAGCCCCGGCUAACUUCGUGCCAGCCGCCGCCGUAAGAC
rnacentral:rRNA from 1 species